rnacentral:rRNA from 1 species
CCCCAAUAGACGAUUGGGUUGAUAGGCCGGAGGUGGAAGCACAGUAAUGUGUGGAGCUGACCGGUACUAAUAGGCCGAGGACUUGACCAC